rnacentral:rRNA from 1 species
GCUGGUUGCCUGUGAAUGAAUCUAAGUUCUCCCUUAAUUUUACCCCACCUUCAGACUCGAACACUAACCCGUAGCAAAUUAAGAGUAAUUUAAAGGAGGUACAGCUCCCUUAAAAAAGAAUACAACCUUCCCCAGAGGAUAAGCACCCCCCCCACCCACCUGUGGGCCUUCAAGCAGCCACCACCAAAGAAUGSGUCAAAGCUCAAUCUCCAAAAAUCCAAAAACAAAUGGGACUCCCUCAUCCAUAACAGGCUAACCUAUCAAAAUAGGAGCAUUAAUGCUAAAAUAAGUAACCAAGGCCACCCUUYUAAAGCACAAACUUACAUAUCACAUUAUUAACAGGCCCACUAAUACCUAAAUCACUACAAGACCAAAUAUUCAAUAACCCUGUUAAACCAACUCAGGAGUGCUCAACUAGAAAGAUUUAAACCUGUAAAAGGAACUAGGCAAAUUCCAAGGCCCGACUGUUUACCAAAAACAUAGCCUUCAGCACGCCAAGUAUUGAAGGUGAUGCCUGCCCAG